GGCCUCUGAAGGAGGAGGUAUGAUCAGCAACUACUGUAGGACAAAAUGACUCUAACAGCCAUGGGCUAGGAAUCAACUGGGAGUUCCUUACUUCGACGAUCCCAUAUCUAUGGCAACUUUUCACCACUCAGAAUCGAUUAAAAAAGUGAUUGGCUUACCUUAUCGGAGGAGUAGUGCUGAUGGAAAAUGAUUGAUUCAUUGAAACUGAAAGACAGAUGCUUUUCACAGAAUGAUGUCCCCACCUGGCAAACUGGCACUGAAGCAAUUUCUUAAUGGAUUCCACACAUACAGCAUGCCAUUAUGUUUUGGCACCUAUUCCACUGAC